UCACUUGAAUACUGUGCUGUAGCAAAUUAAACCCAACCGGGGAACCGCCCGGACCUCCCGGCGUCCGGCUCCAUGUGCAGUCUCUUGUAGGAUUCCUCACGUACUCGCGGCUCAGUUUGCCAGCCGUUUACCGCCGCCGCCGGCAUGGCCCCUCCGGCGCUGCUCUCCCGCUUGCGCCUCGCACCUCUCCACCACCACCUGCGCCGCUCUAUCUCCGCUGCCACCCCACCACCAGACGAGUCGCCCCCUUCCCAUCCUCCCUCGCCGGCGCCGCCCUCCAACCCCAAGCUCUUCGUUGCCGGGCUGUCGUGGUCCGCAGACGAGCGGUCGCUGAUGGACGCCUUCUCCUCGUUCGGCACCGUCACCGAAGAUGAUGCGCACGCUAGGUGUUCGACGAAAUGGCUCCGAGGCCAUGGGCGUUCCCAUUCCAUCCAGCCUCACGAACUGUUUGAGAGAAUGCCUGUUAGGGACGUGGUCGCGUGCUCGUCGGCAAUCUACCGAAACGCGAGGAGCGGGUCCUUUGAUGAGGCCGUUGGGCUGUUUGUCGGUAUGAUGAGGGCAAGGGUGUGCCCAAAUUCUUUCACCUUGGUUGGUGCAUCGCUUGCAGCGGCUGGGCUAGGUGACUCCGUGCUCACUGAGUGCAUCCAUGGGUGGGCUGUCAAGAGUCGGUUGGAUUCCAAUCCUUUUGUUCGAACUGCAUUGCUUGAUUCAUAUGCGAAAUGUGGUUGCCCCAUUAAGGCGUUGGCUUUGUUUAGUGAAAUGAGGGAUCCAGGUAUAGUUACCUGGAAUUCAAUGAUCUCCGGUUUAGUGCACAAUGGUUUGUUCGAGGAGGCGUUGUUGGUGUUUAAAAGGUCUCUUCGAUCGUUUGGGCCAAUUCAUAAUGUUGUUACUAUGAUAAGCACAGCUCAAGCAUGUGCUGGUUGUGGUGAUGUUGGACUGUGUGGGACUGCACAUGCUUACACGGUCAAGAUCGGGCUUGAUCUGGAUGUAUCGGUGACAAACUCAAUACUGGGCAUGUACCUGAGUUUUGCUAGUCUUGAGACUGGAAAAGUGAUUUUCAGGAAGAUUCCAGUUAGCAAUGUUGUUAGUUGGACGAUGAUGAUGGGUUCCCUUCUCGAGAAAGGGCAUGCUGGUGAAGUUAUACAUAUGUUUGUUAAGAUGAGGUUAAAUGGCAUAGUGCCUGACAGGGUAGCUAUGGUUUGUUUGGUGCAAGCCUGUGCACUUAUGGGUGAUAAAAGGAGAGGAAAGUUGGUUCAUAACCAGAUUGUAAUCCGUGGAUUCAGUAGAGAGCUUCCUGCUGUUAAUUCCUUAAUCACAAUGUAUUCCAAAUGUGAGGAUUUAAGUUCUGCAAGAAAGUUGUUUGUUGGCACAAGGGAUAAGAGUUUGGUGUCAUGGACUGCAAUGGUGGCAGGUUGUGUAGAAAAUGGAAAUGCGCUAGAAGGGUUGCAUCUCUUUGCUAAGAUGAGGCAUGAAGGUCUGUUUGUGAUUGAUUCUGUAACAUUAGUCACCUUAUUGCUUGCCUGCUAUGUGAUUGCUAAGUUUGACCUAUCUGUUCAACUUCAUGGGUAUAGCUAUAAGUCAGGUUUGUAUCUGCACAGACCUGUUCUUAAUACCCUCAUGGCAGUUUAUGGCAAGUGUGGAUAUGUGGCUUUAGCCCAAAAAGUGUUUGACGAGAUGAUUUCUCGAGACACUGUCUCAUGGAAUACUAUGAUAUUAUCCUAUGGUAUAAAUGGCCAAGGAGAGGAAGCAAUAACACUUUUUAGCGAGAUGGAGAAAUCUAGCGAGGACCAAGACAGUGUAACAUACUUGAACACAUUGCUAGCAUGCAGCCAUUCUGGACUGGUGGAUGAUGGGUUAGUCAUCUUUAGAAGAAUGAUUAAUGAGAAAGGCAUAAAUCCACAUCAGGAGCACAUUGGAUGCAUCGUAGAUAUGUUGGCAAGAGCUGGCCGCUUGGAUGAAGCAGCAGGAGUGGCUAGCUUGACUGACAAUAAAUUGGGACCAAAUGCUUGGAAGGCCUUAAUGGGAGGGGGUCAUUUGCAUAAUGAUAUAAAAUUCACUAAAAUUGCUGCACAGAAGGUGCUUACGAUGGAAUCAUUUGAUUAUGGACAUGUGGUGUUACUUUCUAACAGUUAUGCAUCACUUGGGAAAUAUAGUGCUGCCGAAUCUGUCAGAUCCUGUCAUACAAAACAGGUUGCAAAGAAAACUCUGGGGCUUAGUUCUAUCUAGGCCAUGACAUCCAGCACGGGAUGGAAGAAUGUUCCUUCCCUGGGAAGGGGUGAGAAAUUGUGAAAAAUGGAUAAGCAUCAACACAGGUUUCAAAAGGCUCAUACGCAUUAGCAGAUUGGCUCAGACCCUCGGCCAUUGGAUAUUUGGAUCUUGAGUCUCGUGAGUCACCGCGUCGUUACUAAAAAUUCAUCUCGGUCACUUCAGGAGCCUUUUGACGUGUGACUGGAGUUUUUCAGACGUGAGAAUAAUGUACGACAAAAACUCUGGAAGGUCAAGAGGCUUUGGUUUUGUUCAGUUCUCAAAUGAUUAUGAAGCUAAGUGCGCCAAGGAUGCUAUGGAUGGAAAGGUAAUGCUAGGACGGUCGUUGAAGAUAAGUUAUGC